UGGGGAAUAUUGCACAAUGGGCGCAAGCCUGAUGCAGCGACGCCGCGUGGGGGAUGACGGCCUUCGGGUUGUAAACCUCUUUCACCAUCGACGAAGGUCCGGGUUUUCUCGGAUUGACGGUAGGUGGAGAAGAAGCACCGGCCAACUACGUGCCAGCAGCCGCGGUAAUACGUAGGGUGCGAGCGUUGUCCGGAAUUACUGGGCGUAAAGAGCUCGUAGGUGGUUUGUCGCGUUGUUCGUGAAAUCUCACGGCUUAACUGUGAGCGUGCGGGCGAUACGGGCAGACUAGAGUACUGCAGGGGAGACUGGAAUUCCUGGUGUAGCGGUGGAAUGCGCAGAUAUCAGGAGGAACACCGGUGGCGAAGGCGGGUCUCUGGGCAGUAACUGACGCUGAGGAGCGAAAGCGUGGGGAGCGAACA
rnacentral:rRNA from 1 species